UACGUAGGGUGCAAGCGUUGUCCGGAAUUAUUGGGCGUAAAGAGCUUGUAGGCGGUUUGUCGCGUCUGCUGUGAAAUUUCGGGGCUCAACCCCGAACUUGCAGUGGGUACGGGCAGACUAGAGUGUGGUAGGGGAGACUGGAAUUCCCGGUGUAGCGGUGAAAUGCGCAGAUAUCGGGAGGAACACCAAUUGCGAAGGCAGCUCGCUGGGACGUCACUGACGCUGAGACGCGAAAGCGUGGGGAGCAAACAGGG
rnacentral:rRNA from 1 species